AAAUGUAAAUAUGAAUGGAAAUAUACUUUAUAGAUUUUUUUAUACGUAAGAAUUUCUAGGGGUGCUAAUUAUCAUGGCCAAUGAAUGAAUGGAAGCUCAAAAGGAUAAACAAUGCAGAUUUAUUUUCACAGACUUCUUUGCUCAUAUUUACCAAGGGGGCUAAUAAUUCUGUAUCAUUUGUGUACUAUUAUGCAUGUUUGAGAAACUAAUAUGCACCCUUAAAGGGUAAAUAAGGUACAAAGUGUACAUUUUAAAAAGGUGAUCGCUUAACCACAAUGCAACACAUAUGUUCCUAUACAUCUGUAUUUCCCUUUUUUGCUUUGAUGCAAACAAAAAGUGCACAAAACCAGUUUAUUUUAAUUAGUUGAAUUAUGCAAAUGCAGUAAACAGGGCUUUACAAAAGUGCACAAGUUCCUUAUGUGCCUGUUUUGGGUAACUAACUGCUGCAUCCUGUGGUGGUCAUAGAAGUGGAAGUUAUGUGGUUUCAAACUGAGCACUGAAUGUCCUGAGGAAGGAACACAUUUGACUAGACCGUAUCUUCUCUAAAGAUGUGCUGCGCAUCAAUUCAUCUCCUCAUUGGUGCCUUACUCAUCCUUGCUGUUGAAAAUGAGGCCACAACCAUGAUAUCCAGCAUAGAAAAUACCACUGCUCCAGUUUCAGUGUUUAGUGACAACACCACCCUAUUCAAAGAAAAGGACAUUCUAGACAACUUUACCUCUCCAAGCUUCAAUGCCACCCUGCAAAACACGACGGUUGUGGAUAUAUCAGAUGGAGAAUCAGAAUCAUCUACUCCACCGCCCUCAGAACAUCCGCAGACCAACAAUUACACCACAGACGAUUCUCUGAAGACCGUUUCACAAUCAAGCACAAAUAAUAUGAUCAAAAGCACAACUAAUAGCAAAACAACCACAAUUCAAGCAACGCAGCCUGUCAAAAACCAUGGACCAACUUAUAUAGUUAUCUUUAUUAUUGCUGCUCUGUGCCUCUUGGGGGUGGUAGUUUAUUGUUGCCAUAAAACUAAAUCCAGGAAGUACUCAGUGGACUUGCAUCCCAAACAAGAAGAUGUUCAGAUCCCACUCAGCACAGUGGAUGUAGAGGUGUUUGACACCACAUCAGUCAAAGAUAUGCAAACAUUCAGUCCUGUUGAGUCCACCGAGCCGCUUAAGGACCCUGCGCCUGCUGAGAAGCCUGAGGGAGGGAAAGAAUCAGCUGAUCUUAAACAAGAAAACCAACCGAAUUUAUCCAGCACUCAGGCCACAGAGGACACAAAGGAUAAAAUGGAGGGGCUGACCGUAGUAGAUCUGACUGAUGGAGAUCUGACGAUCUCCACCAAAACCUCAAUGGAAUCCCUAGAUGAUGUUCUCAAUGAAAACAACAGCAACAAUACAAGACUUGAAGUCAAGGGCAAUGGGCAUGAUUUCACUGAAAUCUCUAUUGAUGCUUUGCUUUACUUCUAAAAUAAAUCAGGUUCUUCCCAACAUUUUACAAUGCUGAUGAGAGACCUUCAUCAGCAUUUCAAUACAUGAUGGCCCACGGUCUGGACAAUGGAAUGCUCCAUGGAUCUUAUAUUACAGCAGUCAUUCCACACGUAUAUAGUUUAACAUUAACAGUAACAUUUUCAGCAAAUAUAAAAAUAAAUAAAUAGGCUACAUACUACGACAUUUUGAAAAAGGUCUACCUUUUGUAAUACAAUAUUUAAUAAAAAUGUAAAUAUUUGUGCAAAAAGACCAUUUUCCAUAGUGGUCUCAGACUUUUUUAGACCCACAUGUAUAGGUUUUUAUUACAGAUAUUACAGCUCAGCUUACAUAUUGGUCACACUUUAUUUUAAGGUCCAAUUCUCACUAUUAACAAACCAUUAACAAUGACUUUUGACUCAAUAAACUCUUAAUUUGCUGCUUAUUAAUAGUUAGUUGUAUGUAUGUUGUUAAAGGGGUGGUUUACUGUUUUUUUUUUUCUAGGCUUGAUUGUGUUUAUGGGGUGCAGUCUAACAUGUGUUCAUGCUUCGUUUUUUUAAAAACGCAUUAUUUUUCAUAUAAUUUACCUUUAUUCCACACCACUCUGUCCCUUCUCUGACAAACGCCUCGAUUAUUUCCUGCUUUUAUGAAGCCCCUCCCUCAGAAAUACGUGAUGGGCUCUGAUUGGUUAGCUGGCUCAGUGUGUUGUGAUUCACUAAACCGCCGAGCGUGCGUCUAAACGUCCCGCCCCUCAGCUCAGCGGCAUGUGCUCCGGUUGUAUUGUAAACAAUGUCGUCGUCUAUAUUUCUUAUCAAUUUGAGCCUGAUUGAGAGGCAGAGGAUAUUAGUGAAGAGUAUCUAGCAAAACCUGUGCAAGCAUGGCUCUUAAUGGUAUGUUUGUUGUCUCAUACUUUUAGAUACACUGUUAUUAUGCUACUGCUUAUGUUAGCUUUUAAUAUACGGUUUUAUUCUGAUUAAAGCUUUAAUACAGUACGGCAACCGCACACGCGUCCAUGUAUAACGCUUCUCAUUGCUUUUACAUGUGAAAAUGUAUAAUUGGAAUAAGUUGUUGGAGCUGAUCUGACGAUCUGAAUGAGAGAGAGAGAGAGAGAGAUGCAGAGCAGGGCGACGCGAGGAACAGUAUUAAGAACGGCUGUUUUAGAACAUUAAUUUUGAAACUUGUGAAUCCAUUAGAAUCGUUAGAAGACAGAAUCACGAUUCAUAUAUGAAUAGAUUUUUACGUGCACCCCUAAUUUUCUCUUCCUCUUCUCUAAAGCAGCACAGCAUGGCCUCGCCCCCUUCCUUACAUGUUCCCGAGGGCGGGGUUUAUCUGGGUCAGUGACGUAUCAGACCCGGGAAGUAGUUCGUUGUAGUCCCUUACCAGUCGUUUUUGUAGGCAUUAAACUUCCAGAAUUUUAAAAGACGAUAUCUCUGUUUGCAUUGAACUUUCAGCGCUGCAACUUUUCAGAUAUUGUUUAUGCUCAAACAGCAACAUUACACACUAACUAAAAAAGUGAAAUUGCAAUCAACCACCCCUUUAAAUUUAGGUAUUGGGUAGGAUUAGGGAUGUAGAUUAUGGUGAAUAUGUGCUUUAUAAGUAUUAAUAAACAACUAAUAUGGUACUAAUAGGCAUGCUAAUAAACAACUAGUUAAUAGUGAGAAUUGGUCCCUACAAUAAAGUGUUACCAAAAUACCUAUACUUACUAAUACUAUACACAGACAAACUAUAAUUAGCAGAAAAUAAGGAAAAGUCCACUCAUUCUAAAACCAGAGACAGUUAAAGAAUCAAAGGGAGGAAACGGAGAGAAAACCUCUCAUUCAUUCCAGCUGGUUUGGAACUGAUGGACGGGUUGGAGACAUGAACUUGAAAGAGGUCAUGUUCUCCCACCCCCAUAGAUAACAACUAAUGACCAUGACUGCUCAUAAAGCAGUAUAAUUAGCCAGAGCCCCAGGGACUAUUAUAUAGGGUAUUAUUUUCCAAUAAGGGUUUGCUUUCAUGUGCUCUCCAGUCAUUGUCAGGGGCUCCGUUUCCAGGUUUUGGAGUUGAUAGGGCUCUCAUAAAUACUUCAGUUGUACCUAUAUACAUUAACUUUAAGGUGCUUAGUCUACUCAACAGAGAGAGGAAAAAAAAAAACUAGACAGUAGUAUUUUAUCAGACAAACAGCAGUUGGUCUCUAUACAUGGAUUUCCAAGUUUAUAGACAGGACACAUAGUCUACAGAAGUUUAGUAAUGGCACUUACAUUGUUGGCCAAUGGUGCUCUGUCUGCUCUAACAGCACUAUUGCAGUACCUUCAGUUUUAAUUGCUAAAGACUGAAAUGACAAAUGGUUAGUAUCUGUCCAUGACAUUAAUGAAUUCCAUAUUAAAAAAACAAAGAAAAACAUCUGAAACCUUAAAUCUUUAAACGUUUUUUAGGAGUGGCCCGUCUAAUGACAAAGAAGCCAAGUCAAUGCUAGAUUUACAAGAAGAAUCUGACACUCGCCCAGGCCUGAACAGUAUUACACACUGUGCUUUGGUGUGGAACUAAUGUGUGUUUGCACAUGAACACAUGCAGUUGUUGACUAGCGUUUUGAUGUGGUUAUUGUCUCACCUGGCCAGGUGUAACUUCGGAUGAGUGGGAAAGAGAGAAACUCAGAGCUGUUCCAGGUGGUGCCUUCUGGUUUAAGUUGAAACCUGCAAGCUUCAAUGUAAGCUUUUCCUACACUCUUAAAAAUAAAGGUGCUUCACGAUGCCGUAUAAGAACCUUUUUGUCUAAAUGGUCCCAUAAAGAACCUUUAACAUCUGAAGAACCUUUCUGUUUCACAAAAGAGAUCACAAAAAAAAACUUUUGACUGAAUGGUGUAGAACCAAAAUGGUUCUUCUAUGGCAUCGCUGUGAAGAACCUUUUAAGCACCUUUAUUUUUAAGAGUGUAGUAGCAAAGUUGUGUGUAACUUUACUUAGCAAUUACAACAUAAACAUUUCACCAUAUCAGAAAGAAUCGAUGAGGUAACUGUGUUAGGCGGAAGAAGCAUACUACAGUAGGUCACUGGUAAAGUUUAGGUCUCUUUGAUGGUGGUAACUGUUAGUUAUUUAUGUUUCCAUGGUUCCAUUGAUACAUUAUGGUUUUAUUUAUAGGAUUAACCAUAUGUUGACUCAAUGGGAUGUUAGUGUUUGUAUGUACACAAACACUGAUGACUGUAUUUGGUAGCAAGAGAAAAAGCCAUAUUUGGGCAGUGUUGCAAAGUGAAUGUUGCAAACAAUGUUCUUAAAGACUUCCUCUUCACACUUCAAACAGUUUAUCCACCCUAUUUACUCACCCUUGUGUCAAUUUUCUGUUUUCUGCAGAAGACAAAAGAAGACAUUUGAAGAAUGUUUUUAUCCAUACAAUAAAAGUCAAUUGGGUCCAACAGGUUCAAGCUCUCAAAAUGGAAUUAAAACGUUUUGUACAAGUAAUCCAAACAAUUCCACUGGUUUAAUCAAAGUCUUCUUCAUCUUCAGUUCUAUUACCAAUAUUAUUCUUUGUUUGACGAAUAGAGUGAAAUGCAAAUAGUUAUUCACUUUCAAAUCAAACCAUUUAUUAAGCCUAAAUCAAAAUGGUGAUUGGUUCUUGUGCCAUGAUGUCAAGUCAUAUGAUACACAAGAACCAAUGAGGUUUAAUGUUACUUUUCAAAGAUCUUCUUUUGUGUCCUUCAGAAGAAAUGAACUUUACAUGAGGGUGAGUAAAAGAUAACAGACGUCAUUUUCGGGUGACCUAUUAUUUUAAAGGUGUGCAAAACCUGUUUCUGUAGAAACUGCUGCAUCUUGCUAUAAAAGACUCUCAAUGACAGGUGUCAUCAACAUUAAAGUGCUGAACGUUCAAGGCUAUUAAGCAAUAAGACUUAGAGAAUUUGGGUUUAGGUUGUUGGGAGUGUGUGUUCAUAUAUUUAGCUACUUUAUCCCUUCUCAUAUUUCUAAAGCUUCUCCGAUUCACUCUCAGUGAGAAGUCAUGAAAGGAUUUUUUAUGUAGAGACCACACCCAUGUAGGUCUAUCCCACCACAGUGACCCAGCAAGCCUAUGUUUGAUUCACGUGGGGAGCAUCCACCAAUGUCCCUAUAGAUCUCCCUGUAAAUCCUCACACCUUCCUUGAUUGCAGCUAUUUUUACAGAACGGGAUAAAAGAAAUGUAAUAGGCCCCUGAGUCGAGCCAAUGACUAUUCUUCCACAGUUGUGAGGCAGAAAACUUUAAGCUCGUUCUCGCCCACCUGUUCACCUGUUUUUUUUUUAAUCAAUUACAUUGACAUAGUUUUUCUCUUUUUCAUUUAACUGAUGGCUGUUUGCAAACCUAAUAAAACUGAAAGCAAAAAAAGAAAAAAGAAUAAUGUUUUCCCUUACUGCGUUGUUGUCAUACAGUGGCUGUCAGACUCAAAGUUCAUCUAUAUUUUGUCCUUCUCCAGCUGUCCUUUCGCUUAGGCUUUUUUUAUCCAUCCUGUGCUACUCAUACUUCUAAUGAUGGCCGCUUUCAGUGAGGAUACAUUUGCUUGGGUGAAUUUACAAGCAGUGAAGUCAUUUAAGUGGGGUGAUAAUUAGUUCAUGGCAAACAUUCAUGGAUAUUUCAAACUUCCUGUGAGUUUCUUGGAACUUCUGUGUGUAACUUUAUACAUUUCCUUUCAUUCUUGGAUUUCAUUUUUUGUUUAAUACAGUAGUAGUUUAUGUUGCUACAACUAGUUUUGUGAAAAUAAAUAAAUACAUAAAUAAAACCUGAAACUAACAGGUGAACAAUUAUACUGAUAUUUGUUUGUUGGUUUUUCUAAUGUAUAUUUACAAAGAAAAGAAGCCAGUUUCCUUUCUGGAAGUCUAGACUACCUCAUUGUGUGUUCACACUGGUGAAAAUGCUGUUUGGUUACGGUUUACAAGAUGUCUGAACCUGACUGAUGGAUUUUUUAAACUGGAAGUAACAGCUGAACCAAAUUGUAAACUAUGUGAGUCAUUGUUAGAACACCAUUGUUUGAAUAUACUUACAGCACUUAAUUUCUAGCGAUUAUCGUCGAUUUGAUUGCACAGAUACUAUUUAAACUAAACUGAGCUAGACAAUGACAUCUCUGAAUUCAAUAAUGAAAUGCCUUUAACUGAAAAUUGAGUGUUUAAUCUUAUCAUUAUACAUUACUAACACUCUAUCCUCCAAUUUGAUACUGUUAAGUGCUUUGACACAAUCUGUAUUGUUAAAAGCGCUAUAUAAAUAAAGGUGACUUGACUUGACUAAGAAGAGUCUGUAAAAACAGGGCCCAGUGUAUUGUGUUAAUGUAAAGGAAUUUUCUGUAUACAUUUUCACUAGUGUUUUACUCAUAUUUUAAAAUGCAUUGUGUUGUUUUAGGGUUAAAGGAAAUAUACGUAAACUUAAUGAGUACAACUUCAUGGAGAAACUUGAUGGAGUUUCUGUUUUUCUGCAUAUUUUUGUUCCCAUGGUGUAUUACCUUUACAGUUAGCAUAAUAUUACCUGGUAUGUUAGAUUUUAAAAUUGUAACUAUUUUAAACCUAAUUUAUGACAAUCUAAUCUAAUCUUAAAAGGAUAAUUUUGUAAAUGUUCAACCAGCUUUGUAUUGUUGUCGCCUGUAUAUAAAUGUGUACUUUUUCCAUGUUCUUGCACCCAGAUAUCUCAGUUCAUUUUCCAAGCAAAAGGAUGCUUGGAAAAUAACCAGAUUAUGCAAAACAUGUCACUUUUGACAGGUCCAGGCUUUUUAAUAAAACUACAGAUUGA